UUGCAGGCUGCAACUCGCCUGCAUGAAGUUGGAAUUGCUAGUAAUCGCGAAUCAGAAUGUCGCGGUGAAUACGUUCCCGGGCCUUGUACACACCGCCCGUCCACACCAUGAGAGUCGAUAACACCCGAAGCCUGUGAGCUAACCGCAAGGAGGCAGCAGUCGAAGGUGGGGUUGAUGAUUGGGGUGAAGUCGUAACAAGGUAGC
rnacentral:rRNA from 1 species